CACAUAGAGGAUAUGCAGGUGAGGGUGCUCAGAGUAGAAGGUGACUGUGGGAACAGAUGGAUAGGGACUCUGUGUUCUUUCUCUGGGUGUAGCAGAACUGCCUACAGCUGGGGAACCCUGCCAGGUAGGAUGCUCAUGUGGAGGCCCUAACAUAAGGGGGAAGAACUGGCUUAGUCAGGGGAGGCUGCACUCAAGAGGAGGGGUAGGACUUACAGGUGGAGGUACUGGGGAGUGGAAUGCUGUAGGGGGCCUGCCUGCGGAAGCCCUGCUUUGAGGGUUGUUGAUAGGAAGAAGUUGAGAGGCAGCAGCCAGAAGCCUGAGGGAACAGACCUUGGCUGCUUGUUAUAAGGUCCAUGGACUGGAACCCAAUGUAGUCUAAGUUCUCCUAUGAACCACUGGGAAGUUGGCAUGGAACCCCCUGAGAAGGGGCUAAGGAAAGUUGAAAGCCCUAAGAGAAGGAGUAAAAGGACCAUGAGGUCCAGAGUUGGGGCCCAAAGUUGGACGUAAGGACUGGGACUAUUGUCUGUUAGACUUUCUGUUACUCCAGAAGUCGUGGGUGACGGGGGAAGAGAGACUAUAAGUGACUGGCCAGAGGGCUGAGUCAUGACAAGAGGCAGACUGCUGUAGCUAUCAGCAGAGUGUGCCAGAUGAGAAGAGCCUGCUACUCCACACACAGGAAUAAAAGGGUGUCCCAGUGAUUUUGAAAUCUGACAUAGUGCAAGCCAUCUCAGUACACAUGUGAUGUGAAUUACAUUAAAAUGAAAUAUUUGGAAAAGUUUGUAUCAGUCUGAGGAGGCCUUGCUUCAGACAUCAAAACAGCACCAUCUUCAGAAUCCACUGAAGGCAGUGGAAAGAUUUCAACAGGGACUGGAUCGGGUCCUUUCAGAUGCUGUUGAAUAUUCUUGAUAUGGGGCCUGACUGUGCUGGCUUUACUCAUCCGACCAUCUGUAGUGUAGUCUGUCUGUUUAUUCUGUAUGCUUUUACUCCUUUUGAAACAAGCAUUGUAUUUUGCCUCCACUGAAGGCAAUAAGCCAAGCAAAACUGCUGUUGAUUUCAGGAUUGGGCUCUAAAUUGCGUAAAGAGAACUCAGUUACUUUGACCAUAUAACCUUAGAGCAGUAAAUGACAACGUGGCUAAUACUCAAUCUUCCUAGACAAACAAUUUGACAAUAAAUUAAGAUAUUUUCAGCACUCUUGG